CAGCUCUCCGAGUAGUGUGGACGUUUAUUGGGCCUAAAGCAUCCGUAGCUUGCUAGAUAAGUCCUCUGUUAAAUCCACCGAUUCAAUCGUUGGAUUGCGGGGGAUACUGUUUGGCUAGGGGACGGGAGAGGUCGACGGUAUUUCCGGGGUAGGGGUGAAAUCCUAUAAUCCCGGGAGGACCACCAGUGGCGAAGGCUGUCGACUAGAACGCGCCCGACGGUGAGGGAUGAAAGCUGGGGGAGCGAACCGGAUUAGAUACCCGCGUAGUC
rnacentral:rRNA from 1 species